rnacentral:rRNA from 1 species
UAAUACGUAGGAGGCAAGCGUUAUCCGGAUUUACUGGGCGUAAAGAGGGCGCAGGCGGCUUUUCAAGUCGGAUGUGAAAUUUCCUGGCUUAACUAGGAGGGGUCAUUCGAUACUGUUAGGCUAGCGGGCAGCAGAGGGAGGUGGAAUUCCCGGUGUAGUGGUGAAAUGCGUAGAUAUCGGGAGGAACACCAGUGGCGAAGGCGGCCUCCUGGGCUGUACCUGACGCUGAGGCCCAAAAGCGUGGGGAGCAAACAGGAUUAGAUACCCUGGUAGUCCACGCUGUAAACGAUGGACACUAGGUAUGGGGAGUAUCGACCCUCUCCGUGCCGAAGCUAACGCUUUAAGUGUCCCGCCUGGGGACUACGGCCGCAAGGCUA